UCAGUCAGUCACAGACAGACAACAUGACAUUACACGUCGUAACUUUCAUAAGUUACUUAAAAAGUUUAACAGCAGAGAUCGGAUAGCAAAUCAACUGUUUUUAAAUAAUUUCAGCUGAAGUUUUCAUCCUACCUGGCUAACCGCUAACUAGGUGCUCGUGACAAUAGAAAUGAAAUGGUCUAAUCCAAUAAUGCAUGCCCACAACCUAAUGCCUUCUGAAGCAAAAUAAUUUUGUGUUGACAGUUGUAAAUUUUCAAGAUAUUGAUGUCUUCGCAAGAUCCCAUUCUUUGUUGCUAUCAGUUUUGCAAACAACAGCAAGAAAAUGCUGCUACUCAAGAUUUUAUGGUGACCAACACUUUGUUCUAAUUUAGGGCAAUGUAAGGUUGAUAAAUUUGAGGUUAAUCCCUCUUUGUCACUGUUAUAGUUGUUUGGAAACCAACAAUCCUACUAUGACUAUAUCUCCCCAGUAAAACUGGCCUCGUACUUCUCUGUUCUUCACUGGCCAGGUAAUCUCUCUGGGCACAGGCAGGGCAGUGUCACCCCCUGUCUUGAUUGAUUGCUCUUCUAAGUUGUCAAAUUAUAGCAAUUUACAUUUAUGGAAAUUCAUUAGUCUGUGCUCGCUGCAUAUUCAAGAAACUGCAAUCAUCUACCGCCAUACAACUUUCUACAUGUUCUAGAUACUGUUCCUACAUAGUGCUGGGAGUAAUGGCCAAUUUGAAAACAAUUCUUAAAAAUUUGCAUUCAAUCGAUUUUAAUGCUGGUAUAAAAUUAUAAAUACAACUUUUACAA
rnacentral:lncRNA from 1 species